UACGAAGGGGGGCUAGCGUUGCUCGGAAUCACUGGGCGUAAAGCGCACGUAGGCGGAUUGUUAAGUCAGGGGUGAAAUCCUGGAGCUCAACUCCAGAACUGCCUUUGAUACUGGCGAUCUUGAGUCCGGGAGAGGUGAGUGGAACUGCGAGUGUAGAGGUGAAAUUCGUAGAUAUUCGUCAAGAACACCAGUGGCGAAGGCGGCUCACUGGCCCGAUACUGACGCUGAGGUGCGAAAGCGUGGGGAGCAAACAGG
rnacentral:rRNA from 1 species